UCCCCUUGAAUUGUUAAACUAAAUGAAUUCCACACCCCCCAAGACCGCCCCCAAUGCACCAACAACCAACAAAAUGAACAAAAGAGAGACAAAGGGAAAACAGAAAACAACAAUGCAAAAAACAAGACAUCAAGGAUAACAAAAAUCAUAACAGCCUUCCCUCCCCCAGGGUUAUCGGUGGCCAGCCAGCGUAUACGGUUUUGACCCCUGCCUGACUCUGGACUACAUUCCACCCGCCUGAUCAUCCUGCCGGCCCUGACCUUGAUUCUGCCUGCCCUACCUUUUGGACUCUGAACUGGUUUUGACCGUUUUGCCUGUCCACAACAGGCAAGGUGUUGAUGAUUAGAUUUCACUUUCACCAUAGCUUGUGCACGUCGUGAUAGUCUUUGAAGCAGUCCCUCUCUGCCAGGAAACAAAAAGAAAACUGGCAUUUCACAAUUUCUGUACCCCUGUGUUUUGUGCAAUGCUUGUAGUUCUUUCUUUGGCAUUUGGCAUGUGUGUUGGAUAGUGGAGCUCACCUUGAUUGGGGGGUAUUGUGAUGUUUGUAAGGUUGCUUUGGGCCCCCAAUUCAGCCAUUACCAAUACCAGCUGCUCUAGGAAGGCCAACUGGGAGAGAGGGGUUUGACCUUUUGCUUUGGCCAUCUGCUUGUGGAGAUUUAUUUAACUAGCCAAGCCAGUUAAGAACAAAUUCUUAUUUACAAUGAUGGCCUACACUGGCCAAACCCGGAUGACGCUUGGCCAAUUGUGCACUGCCCUAUGGGACUCCCAAUCCCGGCUGGUUGUGAUACAGCCUGGAUUUAAACCAGGGUGUCUGUAGUGAUGCCUCUAGCACUGAGAUGAAGUGCCUUAGAAUGCUGUGCCACUCAGGAGCCCUACUGAAUUUACUGUAGCAAUGUCCACAAAGUGGUAAAAAAAAGUAUUAUACCACUUUCUGGUCUUGUGGAGGACCUGGUAGUAGCCUAUCAGAGUAUCAGAAAGUUUGACACUGCCCAAGCUGGCAUUGUAGUCCUUCAUAGAAACAGGAAUGGGGACAUUCUUCUUCACCCAUGCCCCAUUGGCAUUUUACACCCUCCUUGAGACAUGGUUGUUAUUGAAUGCCUUAUGCUGUGUGGUGAGCAUGGUUAUAUUCCCUAGUGUCCUUCCAUGUCACAAAAAGCAGCUUGUCAGUCUUGAUCCAACGUAUGGUCCCCCUCUCCGAUGUCUUUGUCAUGUCGUUUACCUUGGUCCUGGGGAAACCGGUUCUGUUAGGACGAAUGGUGCCACAAGCCCCUAUUUUCUUUUUUCAAGAGGUAUAUGAAAAGCAUGGGAGGAGUAUAAAAAUUAUCCACAAAGAGCUUGUACCCACUUCCAAGUAAGGACAAGUCUAUCAGCUGCAUGACAGAGAUAACUAAGGCCCAUACCUGUGGGUGUGGUAGAUUGAUUUUAAGCAGGCUGGUAGUACGUUUUGCAUGCCUCCACCAUGUCAUGAUAAAGGGGAUUGACACUUGCAAGACGAUCAUACCCUGCAGUCCCCUUCUUCUUGGUCAUUCUCCUGAUCCUUUUGUGGGUCACUCAUGUGAAGAGUACGGUUGAUGGCCAAUAAUCGGUUUUCACUCAUGAUGGAGGUGGGGAACUGGCACCGGUAGAGUGGGGACUCUAGUUGUCAACUACUCUUGAUACCUUUACCAGUCCCAUGUAAAUCACCAAGGAAAUGUAGUUGAGCAUGUCACCCAUGAUGACAGGUUUCCAGGACAUCUUCCUUCCCCCCUGAUGCUUCUUGUCCCCAUACUUGUUGGUAUUACUCAUUUGUGUUCCUAGUACAGAGGUGGUAAAGUAGAGCUCAAACAGCUGUAAGGGGGUGUAUGUUUCAUCACUAACCAACUGGACCUUCAGGUCCUUUGGGUUUAAACCUAAAUUGUUAUGGCUCCUCAUCAUCUUCAAGGACCGUAUUCCACCUGUCCUCAGUUUUAUCUCCCUCUGUUGUGCUGCUUCCACUGCCUCUCCCUCUUCUCUGUUGAGGCAUAGAUCUCCUCCCUGCCCCCGCACCUCCAGAUGAUCUUGCAGAGAGGGGAGUGGUGCCAAGGCCUGCAGUGGGGUGGUUGAAGAGGAGUGGGGUCUUUGUCGAGUGGUGGAUGUAGAGCCAUCAGAUGGGAUGAUUGACAUAGCAGUGGGGGGUGAAGAUCUUGACUGGAAGGGGAGCUUGCUGGGGAGGGGUGGCUCCCAAACGUCAUCAUCCAAAUCCUCUGCAUCCUCCACUCUCUGGUGACUAAAAUAAAGGGAUAUAUUGUUGUAAGACACCCAGAAUUACAGUUGACUAAAUUUACUAAACAACAUAACUGUAAAGUAAGAACACCAAGCCUAAACUUUAUCUGUACAGUGACUCACAUAGAAGGUGUGAAGCACACACACAAUGCGAAGAGUAACACUUUGGAGAGAAAGGUGGAGGUGACAACCACAAAAAAACAAUGGCCAUGAGAGUUUAGUGGCCUCUCCAAUGAUGAAACGUAGAUCAGCAAACAGUGAACUAUUAUGAACCAGAUAAUAAGUUGACAUCCAUUGAUGGAAGAUUAUCUGCCGUUUUUUAAUAAGGGCAAAUUAUCUCUUUUUUUAAUAAUGUAUAUUAUAAUUGAUUUUUUGUUGCCCUUUUUCUCCCCAGUUUCGUGAUAUCCAAUUGGUAGUUACAGUCUUGU